rnacentral:lncRNA from 1 species
UCCUUUCUCUAAAUACAGAACCUCACAUUUCCUCUGAUGAUCAGAUGGAACAUGUGUAUACAUGUACCGGUAUAUAGACCCAUUCAUUUCUGUGCAGGAAGCAUUUGUGCAAAGUAAAUUGUGCUCUGGUCUGCUUCCUCCAUUGAAAUUGAUGAGAACACACCUUUGUCUCUUUGAGUGUGUUUCACAGAUGGGAAGUUGCUGGAUUUUUGUAAGCUGCAAUGUACCAGUUUCAGGUGCAUUCACAGACAUUUUUUUUCAUACAUGACACUAAAUGUGCAUGUUAUUCCUGCAGCUGUGAUGUAAAUAUACAUUCCAUAUUUGCUAGCCUGUACGUAAAUUUAAAAAGUGACUUUUUAAAAAAAAUGCAGCAUGGAGAACAUUCACACAUAUGUCCAAAGAGUGUAAGAAAGAUUCAAGUGUGCUUUUAAAGUUGCAUGUAUUGUUCUUUUAUUUUCUUUUUAAUUAUUAUUUCAAAGUUAUCUUCUGCUAAGCAACAGCCCUGGUUAUUUUGAGUGCAUGUAAACAUGGGAACUUCUUAGUUUUCACCUGAGUGAUGGCCCUUUCAAAGGAGGCCGUUACAGUCAGAUUAUUUGGCAAAUGUGUAUUGUCCGAUCCCUGUGAAAAUAUGAGGUUUUUAAAGAUGUAACCUAAUUGAUCUGCUAAUUGCCCCCUUUGUCAGGGAGACACACACGUCCCCAAAUGUUUGGCAUGGUUUUGAGGCGUCGGAAGUUAUGAAAUCCAGACAGUAGCGGCACCCACUCCAGUAGUAGUAAUAACUAUCAUAAUAAGAGCUGAUAUAACUUGGCAAUUUGCUCACCUUUGCUAGCAGUGCCAUCUUUCACCAGAACCAGCCAGCUCAGUCUGCCUACUACUGGCAGGGAUGACCUCUGAGCUUUUUCCUAGAAAUGCAAAAAUAUUUACAGUUUGUGUAGUGGUAGCUGAUGACAUUUUGGACAGUCAACACUGUCCGCAAUGGUCCUUGGAGCCUCUCUUUCUUCCCCCUGCCCCUGUUGGCAUAUGUCAAUGUUAUCAGUGCAAGAUAGGAUAUGAAAGUGGGGCAUUUUCAAAUCCGUUGCACAUUCUAGCCCAGGAGUUCCCAGACUACGAGCUCCAUUCAGUUGGCCUGAUAUUUAAAAUUGUAUUUGUCUUUCUUUCAUUUCUUCUAUUGCAUUUUAUUGCAUUACAGUUUUAAUCUUACGGAAUAAAAGAAGCAAUAGAAAUACAAUUAAAAACCAUACAGCAUCUGGCACAGUGAAUUUCCAAUUGCUACAACAGGCAGAAAAACCACUAAGUGGUCUGCCAAGAGCCUCAGCAAUUUUCAAGUGGCCCAUGGAGGCGAAAAGGGUUUGGGAUCCACUGUUCUAACCAACGAUAGGUUUCACAAUUGCAUUGCAGAACUAAAAAUGCAUGAAAUACUUCAUGCCGUGUACAAACACUUUAUUCUUGUGCAAGAAAUUUAAAACAAAAAACGAUUUAAGCCUUACUUGUAGAAGCCAAUAUCAUCUCUGCAGCACUGUUGCACUUUCAUCACAGGGUUCUAUUUAUGCCUUAUGUGUGUGUGUUUUUGCUAAGACAGAUACUUGUAGAAAACAACAGUAGUUGGAAGAAAUUCCGCCUGCUUAUUUUGCUUAAACUGAGUCUAGAUUAAAGUUAGCCAAUUGAGGCUGCAGUCCUGAAGCUGUUGUCCUCAGCACAUUUACGUAACUGGGAGUAAAUCCUACUGAGAUUUACUUCUGACUUUGACUUUAAAUCACGCCCUUGUAAGUUGGUUCCACUGAAAUGGAUGAGAUCACACAGUGCAAUCCUGUGCUUGUCUCUGCUCAGACGGAAGCCCCAUUGAGUGCAGCUGGGCUUACUUCCAAGAAAGUGGUGUCUGCAGCCUAUUAACAGAUGGGGAGAAAGCAUAUGGAUGUGUGUGUAAAAUAGACAUACAUGCUGGAAUUGCAUUCCAUGAAAUGCCUAAAUAUUCUCUCUCGUAUCCCUUAAACAAGUUCUCAACAACAUGGAAUUAUUCUGUGUGCAGAAUGUAACAAUCCCUCUUCUCUCCAUCUGUAAAUGCCCUUUUUACAUCCUAAAAUUCCUUGGCAACUUGCUGUAUCUUUCUGAAAGAUUUUUGGUAGUGUUUUGCAAUGCUAUAAAUAGACACAAAUAACUUAAGAUCUUAAAAUAUUUGAUAGAAGCUGAAGAUGGGCAAAUUGAACACAUCAAAAAUUUCCAGUGGCGGAAAUAUAGAGAAGCAGUCAUUGGUGUGUGUUUCUUUCUGGGGCUUUAAAGCUAAUAUCCUCCUGUGUGAGUUCCAUAAGACUUUUCCCCCUAGAUUGUGUCCUUAAAGCUCCAUGAACAUAUAGGAAGAAAAGCAAACAGUGGGUGUAUGUUUGCCUACUAGCCAGUUCCAAUGUAUUCAAUGGGGCUUAGUCCAGGUUACUGUAGUAUUGCAAUAUUGCAUCCAAUGGUAUUCAUACUCAGAGUAGAACCACUGAAAUGAAUGAGUACCAAUAACUUUGCUCCUUUAAUUAUAGUGUUGCAAUACUGUAUCCAGUGUUAGUAAUAGAGGAGACCCAUUGAAAUGAAUGGGUAUGACUAACUUGGGUCCUUGAAUGGGUCUAGCCUGAGUAAAAUUUUAGUUGGAUGCAACACUUUUGGCUAUGGGUGGGGUUGUUUUUUUCCAUGCACAGGGGAGUAAACCCACUUGAACUCAGAAAGCAAUUGAGUAAACAUGCCUGAGAAUUGUGUUAGUUCUUUCUACAGCUCCCAAAGGAAACUCAUAUUUUAGCAACAUAAUACAAUAAUUGUUCACAACAGAGUGGUGGCAGCUUUCAAAUUAGUUCAAAAAGGGUGAUUGGAAGACCCACUUUUUACAAGGGAAAGAGUGAGCAGGCCUCCUUAGAUUAUUUGGGGGAAGAAAUGGAC